rnacentral:rRNA from 1 species
GAUGAACGCUGGCGGCGUGCCUAAUACAUGCAAGUCGAGCGAACAGACGAGGAGCUUGCUCCUCUGACGUUAGCGGCGGACGGGUGAGUAACACGUGGAUAACCUACCUAUAAGACUGGGAUAACUUCGGGAAACCGGAGCUAAUACCGGAUAAUAUAUUGAACCGCAUGGUUCAAUAGUGAAAGACGGUUUUGCUGUCACUUAUAGAUGGAUCCGCGCCGCAUUAGCUAGUUGGUAAGGUAACGGCUUACCAAGGCAACGAUGCGUAGCCGACCUGAGCGGGUGAUCGGCCACAUUGGAACUGAGACACGGUCCAGACUCCUACGGGAGGCAGCAGUAGGGAAUCUUCCGCCAUGGGCGAAAGCCUGACGGAGCAACGCCGCGUGAGUGCUGAAGGUCUUCGGAUCGUAAAACUCUGUUAUUAGGGAAGAACAAAUGUGUAAGUAACUAUGCACGUCUUGACGGUACCUAAUCAGAAAGCCACGGCUAACUACGUG